rnacentral:rRNA from 1 species
AUGGCCGACCACCGGCAACUUAGCGCCGCCGACGUCGACCUCUACGGCGUCCUGGGGCUCAAGAAGGAGUGCUCCGACGCCGACCUCAGGCUCGCCUACCGGAGGCUCGCCAUGACAUGGCAUCCGGACCGGUGCUCGGCGUCCGGCACCUCGGCGCGCGUCCAGGAGGCCAAGGAGCGCUUCCAGGAGAUCCAGAGCGCAUAUUCGUCGCAGGUGUCGGGGAUGGGCGACUUCUUCGGGGAGAUGGCCGAGAUGAUGAGCCAGGCCACGCCAACCGAUAGCUUCGAGGAGCUGCAGCAGCUGUUCGUGGACAUGUUCCAGGCCGACCUCCUCGCCGGCGGGUUCGCGUGCGGGUUGGGCGGUGCGCCUCCUAUGGGCCGCCGGGUGCAGGCCCCGAGUCCAUCCUGUACCUCUGGACCUACGUUUGCGCAGGCACGGCCAUCAUGUACCAGCCGUGCCAACAAGCGGUGUUCAUCGGCGAUGGGAUCGCCAGGGGCCUGUCGUCCAGGGUCCGGCCCCGGCCUUUCAGUGUCAAGCUCCAAGGGAAGUGAUUGGAGGCGAGGAGAGGAGGCGCCGUGGACGACGACGCAGGAUGACGCGAGCGUCGGCGGCAGGACGAAGAAAAAGAGGCUGUCGACGGGCCACGGCGAGUCGUGCUAG